AGCAGCCGCGGUAAUUCCAGCUCCAAUAGCGUAUAUUAAAGUUGUUGCAGUUAAAAAGCUCGUAGUUGAAUUUCGGGGUUCAUACGUUGGUCGGGCUUUUUGGUCUGUACUUAUGUAAUGGAUUCCUACCUUCUGAAUAACCAGCAUGCCAUUAAUUUGGUGCGCCGGGGAAGCAGGACUGUUACCUUGAAAAAAUUAGAGUGCUUAAAGCAGGCUAUCGCCUGAAUACAUUAGCAUGGAAUAAUGAAAUAGGACGGCAUGGUUCUAUUUUGUUGGUUUCUAGGAUCACCGUAAUGAUUAAUAGGGAUAGUUGGGGGCAUUAGUAUUCAAUUGUCAGAGGUGAAAUUCUUGGAUUUAUUGAAGACUAACUUCUGCGAAAGCAUUUGCCAAGGAUGUUUUCAUUAAUCAAGAACGAAAGUUAGGGGAUCGAAGACGAUCAGAUACCGUCGUAGUCUUAACCAUAAACUAUGCCGAC
rnacentral:misc_RNA from 1 species